CACGCGUCAGAAUGGGAGAUAUUCUUCCUUAUCCACAAUGUUUCUUCUACGCCUUCGACGAAGCAACCCUACCCUCUCUCUCUCUCGUGAUCUCUCCUGAUAAUCUGGGUUUUGUAAUGGAGAGAAGAAACUGGCUUGUGCUUUGUCGAAUUGGAGCCCUUCCAAUUUUAGGUUUUUACCAGAUUAGGUUUUUACCAGAUUGGAAGAGAUUGAAGCUACAAUUUCAGAGAGAGGAAAGGUAUGGAGGGAGAGAUUUGGAGACGAUCGUCGGUGGCGGGUGGGAGAAUAGAUGAUUACGGUGGUGGUGGUGACGGAGAUGCGGCGGCGAGGUUUGGAUGAGAAAGGACGAGCGGGAGGAGAAGAAAAAAGGGACGUGGUCUAAGGAGGAAGACGUUAUGCUGAGCGAGCUCGUGGAGAAGUUCGGACCGAGGAACUGGAGGUGUGAUGGAGCGGAAUAUUCCUGGUCGGUCGGGAAAGUCAUGAUCGUUGAGCAGUGAAUUAUGCUGAAGAAGAGAUCAAGAAGCUAGCAAGCUUCGUUAAUGGCGGAUAAUUCUGGUCUGAUCAUCAAGCCAGGAGACGUAAUGUGUCAAUCUUUUACUCAUCUGAUGUUGACACUCUUCUUCUUGAGUAUGCAAGUUUGAUCGAAUUUUCUGUUUGCAGUUGUUUUGCUUAUGUGGUUCUACAAUACCUUUCCUGGACACUCCCUCUUGUUGCUUACCUACUAGAGAGAGGCCACAAGAGAGAAUGUAGGCGCAACGAUUGGUGCUUUCUGUUAAUGGGAGACAGGAAGAUGCUCAUGAGUUGAUGAGCUCAGCAAUUGUUAUAUUGUUAUUUGCUGGUGAAGUUUCUGUUAAUCAAUCAGCUAUUUUUAUGGUGAUACUUGAACAAUCCGUGUGUGGAGCAGUAAUCUCAGUCUGAGAUCAAGUUUUUAUAUGUUAUAGUUAUUUAAAAAAAAAAAUUACCUAAGGACUAACCAAAGUCCCACCAAUA